UACCCGCUGAACUUAAGCAUAUCAAUAAGCGGAGGAAAAGAAACCAACAGGGAUUGCCCUAGUAACGGCGAGUGAAGCGGCAACAGCUCAAAUUUGAAAUCUGGCUCUUUCAGGGUCCGAGUUGUAAUUUGCAGAGGGCGCUUUGGCUUUGGCAGCGGUCCAAGUUCCUUGGAACAGGACGUCACAGAGGGUGAGAAUCCCGUACGUGGUCGCUAGCUAUUGCCGUGUAAAGCCCCUUCGACGAGUCGAGUUGUUUGGGAAUGCAGCUCUAAAUGGGAGGUAAAUUUCUUCUAAAGCUAAAUACUGGCCAGAGACCGAUAGCGCACAAGUAGAGUGAUCGAAAGAUGAAAAGCACUUUGGAAAGAGAGUCAAACAGCACGUGAAAUUGUUGAAAGGGAAGCGCUUGCAGCCAGACUUGCUUGCAGUUGCUCAUCCGGGCUUUUGCCCGGUGCACUCUUCUGCAGGCAGGCCAGCAUCAGUUUGGGCGGUGGGAUAAAGGUCUCUGUCACGUACCUCUCUUCGGGGAGGCCUUAUAGGGGAGACGACAUACCACCAGCCUGGACUGAGGUCCGCGCAUUCGCUAGGAUGCUGGCGUAAUGGCUGUAAGCGGCCCGUCUUGAAACACGGACCAAGGAGUCUAACAUCUAUGCGAGUGUUUGGGUGUCAAGCCCGAACGCGUAAUGAAAGUGAACGGAGGUGGGAACCCGCAAGGGUGCACCAUCGACCGAUCCUGAUGUCUUCGGAAGGAUUUGAGUAAGAGCAUGGCUGUUGGGACCCGAAAGAUGGUGAACUAUGCUUGAAUAGGGUGAAGCCAGAGGAAACUCUGGUGGAGGCUCGCAGCGGUUCUGACGUGCAAAUCGAUCGUCAAAUUUGGGCAUAGGGGCGAAAGACUAAUCGAACUAUCUAGUAGCUGGUUCCUGCCGAAGUUUCCCUCAGGAUAGCAGUAACGUAUUCAGUUUUAUGAGGUAAAGCGAAUGAUUAGAGGCCUGGGGGUUGAAACAACCUUCACCUAUUCUCAAACUUUAAAUAUGUAAGAAGUGUUUGUUACUUAAUUGAACGUACACAUUUGAAUGAAACGUUAUUAG
rnacentral:rRNA from 3 species